AGCUUGCUCCUCUGACGUUAGCGGCGGACGGGUGAGUAACACGUGGAUAACCUACCUAUAAGACUGGGAUAACUUCGGGAAACCGGAGCUAAUACCGGAUAAUAUAUUGAACCGCAUGGUUCAAUAGUGAAAGACGGUUUUGCUGUCACUUAUAGAUGGAUCCGCGCCGCAUUAGCUAGUUGGUAAGGUAACGGCUUACCAAGGCAACGAUGCGUAGCCGACCUGAGAGGGUGAUCGGCCACACUGGAACUGAGACACGGUCCAGACUCCUACGGGAGGCAGCAGUAGGGAAUCUUCCGCGAUGGGCGAAAGCCUGACGGAGCAACGCCGCGUGAGUGAUGAAGGUCUUCGGAUCGUAAAACUCUGUUAUUAGGGAAAAACAAAUGUGUAAGUAACUAUGCACGUCUUGACGGUACCUAAUCAGAAAGCCACGGCUAACUACGUGCCAGCAGCCGCGGUAAUACGUAGGUGGCAAGCGUUAUCCGGAAUUAUUGGGCGUAAAGCGCGCGUAGGCGGUUUUUUAAGUCUGAUGUGAAAGCCCACGGCUCAACCGUGGAGGGUCAUUGGAAACUGGAAAACUUGAGUGCAGAAGAGGAAAGUGGAAUUCCAUGUGUAGCGGUGAAAUGCGCAGAGAUAUGGAGGAACACCAGUGGCGAAGGCGACUUUCUGGUCUGUAACUGACGCUGAUGUGCGAAAGCGUGGGGAU
rnacentral:rRNA from 1 species